GCAGGUAGCCUUCCUCUGUACUUUUGUUAGCUCUGUGAGACCUGCUCUGGAAAGGAACAAUUCAAAGACAUAUUUUUCUGGUGUAAUUGCAAAAUACCGUCACUCUUGUAUUGCCAUAAUACAAUAGCAGAUAUCCUGUUUUCCUCGGUUUACAAAGACAACUCAGUGUCGAGGGAACUGAAGACUGGGGUGUGCUGGGCUAACACAAAUUUAGCUGAAGCCAAGAAUGCCCUGGUUUGGCUCUGGAAAGAGUACUAAGCAGCCAAGGACAUUUGGAAAGCCAAAUCUAAACCAGUACGGAACAGCUUUAAUUUCUUGUCAGUUCCCUGCCUUUUGGACCAAAUUGACUGCAUGGCUCUAGUUUGCCCUGGCCAGGAUGUGGGGAAAGCUAAAUCCAACAUACAGACUGACCUAAAAAAAAG
rnacentral:lncRNA from 1 species